AUUGAACGCUGGCGGAAUGCUUUACACAUGCAAGUCGAACGGCAGCACGGACUUAGGUCUGGUGGCGAGUGGCGAACGGGUGAGUAACAUAUCGGAACGUAUCCAAUAAUGGGGGAUAACGAGUCGAAAGAUUCGCUAAUACCGCAUACGCCCUACGGGGGAAAGCUGGGGACCUUCGGGCCUGGCGUUAAUGGAGCGGCCGAUAUCUGAUUAGCUAGUUGGUGAGGUAAAGGCUCACCAAGGCGACGAUCAGUAGCUGGUCUGAGAGGACGACCAGCCACACUGGAAUUGAGACACGGUCCAGACUCCUACGGGAGGCAGCAGUGGGGAAUUUUGGACAAUGGGCGCAAGCCUGAUCCAGCCAUUCCGCGUGAGUGAAGAAGGCCUUCGGGUUGUAAAGCUCUUUCGCAAGGGAAGAAAACUUAGCCACUAACAUUGGUUGAGGUUGACGGUACCUUGAUAAGAAGCACCGGCUAACUACGUGCCAGCAGCCGCCGUAA
rnacentral:rRNA from 1 species